UGGGGAAUAUUGGACAAUGGGCGAAAGCCUGACCCAGCAACGCCGCGUGAAGGAUGAAGUAUUUCGGUAUGUAAACUUCGUAAGAAUAGGAAGAAUAAAUGACGGUACUAUUUGUAAGGUCCGGCUAACUACGUGCCAGCAGCCGCGGUAAUACGUAGGGACCAAGCGUUGUUCGGAUUUACUGGGCGUAAAGGGCGCGUAGGCGGUGUGUCAAGUCAGUUGUGAAAUCUCCGGGCUUAACCCAGAACGGCCAAGUGAUACUGUCGCGCUAGAGUGCAGAAGGGGCAAUCGGAAUUCUUGGUGUAGCGGUGAAAUGCGUAGAUAUCGGGAGGAACACCUGUGGCGAAGGCGGCCACCUGGUUGGAUACUGACGCUGAGACGCGAAAGCGUGGGGAGCAAACAGGAUUAGAUACCCACGUAGUCCCUGAGCGGGCUGGCAAGGCGCAU
rnacentral:rRNA from 1 species